GGGAAUAGCUCAAUUGGUAGAGCAUCAGCCUUCCAAGCUGAGGGUCGCGGGUUCGAAUCCCGUUUCCC
rnacentral:tRNA from 1 species